GUGUGUCCCAUUCUAAAUCGUUAGCUGUCUCGGCUUGACUAAGAUGCAUGUUAUCUAACUUGACCAAGAAAACUAAAAACCACAGUCUGGUUAUGGUUAUCAGCCACUUUCAAACAAAACAGUUUCUACGCAUGGAUUGUGUUAACCAACAAAUCUGAACGGCAGCGUAAUUGCUAAUCGAGGUAAUUAAUUAGAAAGAUUAGUUUUCUACAAAAAAAAAUGACAAAUGUAUAUAACAAAGGCAAUUCCAAACCAUAACUUGACCGGAGCCUUUAUCUAUCUAUCUAUCUAUCUAUAAUAAUAAAGGAAGUUUUCUCUCACCUUAGCCCUCCACAUCAGCAGGAAGAUAGGGGCUUCUGACGCCAAGUGGCAUCUAAAUCAGAUACUCCGGUUUGCGCUGUUAUUUACGUGUCGGGCUUUUCCAUUGUUUUUUAAUUUUGUUGCAUGUUAAUUUCGUUUGGGCUUUAUGCAUAAAUCUUAAGCCCAUACAAAUUAGGUUUCCUCAUCUUCUCGCCUUCUGCCUUCUUAGUUUAGCAGCCGUAAUUUCAGCUCACUGUAACGUCUCUAUCUUCCAUUAAUAUGUACUUUACUCUGAUCUUUAACAUGAUUAACCCAGUCUUUCCACUCUGAAGCUUUCAGUCCAACUCUUUGCAUUCUAAAGUAACAGUUAAGCAACAAGUAUAAAUAUCUUAUUCACUCUGCGAUGAACAGCACAACUUUUCAUUGACAUCGAGAAAGAAAGUUUGUUCAGGUUAUCGAUUACGACAAUGGCGCUGCUCCAACAAUGAAGAGGCUAUUCAACACGUGAGCUGGACCAUCACUGAGUUUUCCUUCUCGGUGUGCGAGAUAUGCAAGAAAAGUAUCAGGUAAUGGAGUUUCAGCAAAGGAAAUGUUGCGUGAUAUUAGAGCUUUCAAGCAAUCUCCCAAGGGUCUUAGAGGUUUGCACUUCUGCAAUACCACAAGCAUUUCUUGAUGGGACGGACACAAAUCCUUCCAGGCUCGCUGAGGAAGGUACAAAUGUCCCUGAAGUAGCGCUGCCUGAAGUUGUGGUACCAGGAAGAGAUGACAAAGAUGGUCUAAUGCUUCCAGUGCCGGACGUUCUGCAACGACCAAACACCAAAGAACAACUUGCUAUUGCUUUAUUAUCUUUUCCAUUUUCGUUUAAAUCUAUUUUCUUUUUGUUUCAAAAAUUAAUGUUGUUGUUGUUGUUUCAAUUACUAACAAUGGCACAAACUGCCUUAUUCCUCUGAGAUAGAACUUGACUUAUCACUUCGGUUUUCUGUUUGUGUUUGACGACCUUAAUGUACCUAAUGGAAUUGAUUAUUUGACCGCUCAUGUUGAACCAGGUACUAAGUUGGAAUUUUUCAUGAGUUUUGCUUCCACUUUGUCUCAUGAGACAGACAAUUCUCUCAUGUGACUUUCUCUUUUUGGGAAAUCCUUUGAAAGCUUGAUGUUCGCAUUGUUUGCUUUCUCAUUUUUUUUUGCCUUUGUUUGCUUUCUUUACAAUUCUAGAUUUUAGUACAACUCUAUUAUAACAACAAUUUUGUUUCACUUAGACUCAUAUAAAUAAUUUCCUGUUAGUUUUCCUUCUCUGUAGUUUGACAACAUAAAAGUGUGCACUUGCAAGAACAAUUACGGACUUAUGACUCUAAUUACUCACACUUCUUAAAAACACUCAUGGUUGUGACUUUUAUUACAUACAUUAUGUAUUUGUAGACAGCCUGCACUUUACGUAUCAGCGAGUGUUGCUAUAAACUGCAAACCUUUGUAGAUUGAGACUCUAAGCUUCUCAAGGAUUAGUCUGUUCAAUAAGAUAUAUGAAUCUUACAUUUAUUCACGUUAACUUGCAUGAGUACUUUUUACAGCUUUACCUAAACGCCAUCAAUUUACGUUAUUAAAACCAUAUAGAAAAUCAGCAAGAUUACCUGGCCGACAUUUAAAGAGAAAAAUAUUACAACAAAGUCGUCGUAAGUACUUGGUCUUUAAACUAUGGUUUUGUGAGUAUCAAUCAAUUUUAUUUGACAUUGUCAAAGUCCAAAGAAAUAUUAAAAUGUGUUCUACUUAUUAUAAAAAUUAAAACAGAA